rnacentral:rRNA from 1 species
GACGAACGCUGGCGGCGUGCCUAAUACAUGCAAGUCGAGCGGAAUCAAUGAGAAGCUUGCUUCUCUGAGAUUUAGCGGCGGACGGGUGAGUAACACGUAGGCAACCUGCCCAUAAGACUGGGAUAACUACCGGAAACGGUAGCUAAUACCAGAUAGGUUCUUCUCUCGCAUGAGAGAAGAAAGAAAGACGGAGCAAUCUGUCACUUAUGGAGGGGCCUGCGGCGCAUUAGCUAGUUGGUGAGGUAAUGGCUCACCAAGGCGACGAUGCGUAGCCGACCUGAGAGGGUGAUCGGCCACACUGGGACUGAGACACGGCCCAGACUCCUACGGGAGGCAGCAGUAGGGAAUCUUCCGCAAUGGACGAAAGUCUGACGGAGCAACGCCGCGUGAGUGAUGAAGGUUUUCGGAUCGUAAAGCUCUGUUGCCAGGGAAGAACGUCCUUGAGAGUAACUGCUCAAGGAGUGACGGUACCUGAGAAGAAAGCCCCGGCUAACUACGUGCCAGCCGCCGCGGUAAUAC